CAAUAGCGUAUAUUAAAGUUGUUGCAGUUAGAACGCUCGUAGUCGGAUUUCGGGGCGGGCGGGCCGGUCUGCCGAUGGGUAUGCACUGGUCUGGCCGUCCUUCCUUCCGGAGACCGUGCGUGCUCUUAACUGAGUGCGCUCGGGAGACGGAUCGUUUACUUUGAAAAAAUCAGAGUGUUUCAAGCAGGCAGCUCGCUCUUGCAUGGAUUAGCAUGGGAUAAUGAAAUAGGACUUUGGUGCUAUUUUGUUGGUUUCGAACACCGAAGUAAUGAUUAACAGGGACAGUCAGGGGCACUCGUAUUCCGCCGAGAGAGGUGAAAUUCUCAGACCAGCGGAAGACGAACCACUGCGAAAGCAUUUGCCAGGGAUGUUUUCACUGA
rnacentral:rRNA from 1 species